rnacentral:rRNA from 1 species
UACGUAGGCAGCAAGCGUUGUUCGGAAUUACUGGGCGUAAAGAGUGUGUAGGCGGUGCUCUAAGUCUGUUGUGAAAUCUCCCGGCUUAACCGGGAGGGUGCGGCGGAAACUGGAGUGCUUGAGGGUGGGAGAGGUAAGCGGAAUUCCUGGUGUAGCGGUGAAAUGCGUAGAUAUCAGGAGGAACACCUGUGGUGUAGACAGCUUACUGGACCACUCUGACGCUGAGACACGAAAGCGUGGGUAGCAAACAGG